rnacentral:misc_RNA from 1 species
UCAGCUGAUUUUGGUGACAACAAUCUUGUGGGGUGGGUAAAGCAGCAUGCGAAAUUGAAAAUAACAGAUGUUUUUGAUCCAGUACUUAUGAAAGAAGAUCCAAAUCUAAAGAUUGAGCUUUUGCGACACUUAGAGGUGGCCGGUGCUUGUUUGGAUGAUCGGCCAUGGAGACGACCCACUAUGAUUCAAGUUAUGGCAAUGUUUAAAGAAAUACAAGCCGGGUCAGGCCUUGACUCACAAUCCACCAUUGCCACCGAAGACGGAGGCUUUCAAAUGGUAGAGAUGAGCAUAAAAGAAGACCCUGAACAAGGCAAGUAGCAGGUGAAAGAAAAGCUGAAUCAAAAUUUUCCAGUGAAUUCUUUGAAAGAAAAGAAGAAAGGUGGUGAUGAUUGAUUCCGCUGCCACAAAAUUUUCCCUCUUCUCUUAUCACUUGAAAAUGGCAUAAAAAGAACUUGUCUGUGUAUCUCUCUACCAUUUAAUGUAUGUAUAAUGUACCCCUUCCUGCA